UCACAGCCUGGUCUUGGGUCAAGGGAAUCAAACCCUAUCUUCCCUCACAGUUAUAUGUCUACUGGAGUUUUCGAAACACAACAUCUAUUAAGCCUGGUUUGACUCAUUUCUCAUCAAGAAACAUAAAACAGGAUACAUGCAUACACAAGGGAUAAAGCAUACACUAGGCAAAGCACAUUCUAAAGCAUAACACACUGACUUACUAUCUAUUACAUGCCUUUACAUAUAUCUCUUUAAUUUCAAUCAUGUCCAUACUAUUCUAUUACACAAG
rnacentral:lncRNA from 1 species